rnacentral:rRNA from 1 species
UAAGCGGAGGAAAAGAAACUAACAAGGAUUCCCCUAGUAACUGCGAGUGAAGCGGGAAAAGCUCAAAUUUAAAAUCUGGUGGUCUUUGGCCGUCCGAGUUGUAAUUUAGAGAAGCGUCUUCCGCGCUGGACCGUGCACAAGUCUCCUGGAAUGGAGCGUCAUAGAGGGUGAGAAUCCCGUCUUUGGCACGGACACACCAGGGCUUUUGUGAUGCGCUCUCGAAGAGUCGAGUUGUUUGGGAAUGCAGCUCAAAAUGGGUGGUGAACUCCAUCUAAAGCUAAAUAUUGGCGAGAGACCGAUAGCGAACAAGUACCGUGAGGGAAAGAUGAAAAGCACUUUGGAAAGAGAGUGAAACAGUACGUGAAAUUGUUGAAAGGGAAACGCUUGAAGUCAGUCGCGUCGACCGAGACUCAGCCUUGCCUUGGCUUGGUGUACUUCUCGGCUGACGGGUCAGCAUCAAUUUUGCCCCUUGGAUAAUGGUGAGGGAAAUGUGACACCUUUACGGUGUGUUAUAGUCUCUCGUCGCAUGCAAGGGUCGGGAUUGAGGAACUCAGCACGCGCCCUUGGGCGUCGGGGCUUUUGCCCACGAUACGUGCUUAGGAUGUUGGCAUAAUGGCUUUAAACGACC